rnacentral:rRNA from 1 species
GUGCUUAACACAUGCAAGUCGAGUGCGCGUGCCGUAGCAAUACGGUAUGGCGCACGGCGCACGGGUGCGUAACACGUGGGCAAUCUGCCCUCCGGUGGGGAAUAACCCCGCGAAAGCGGGGCUAAUUCCGCAUAACAUUCUCUGGACUCUGGUUCGGGGAUUCAAAGCAGCAAUGCGCCGGAGGAGGAGCCCGCGCCCGAUUAGCUAGUUGGUGAGGUAAUGGCUCACCAAGGCAAUGAUCGGUAGCUGGUCUGAGAGGAUGGCCAGCCACACUGGAACUGAGACACGGUCCAG